rnacentral:rRNA from 1 species
AUGAUUUCUCAAAAGAAUUUCAAUGAUUUGCUUGAAGAAAAAUUGCCUAAGAUUGAUGAAUUGGCUAGGAACGUGGAUAGAAUUUCUCUUGAUGUUGAUUCUUUGAAUCUUAGAUCUAUUCCACCUAAGCAUGAUAUCAAUGAGUCUCUCAAAUCCAUGAGAAUUUCCAUUGAUGAGUGCAAGGAAAGAACCGCUAGGAUGCGUGCUAAGAAAGAUUGCUUUGUGAAGGCGUCUUCUUCUAAUUUUUAUGAGAAUAAAGAUGAAGAUCUAAAAGUUAUUGAUGUGUCCCCUAUUAAAUCCUUGUUUUGCAAUAUGAAUCUUCAUAAUGAUGGGACUUGA